AUUGAACGCUGGCGGCAGGCCUAACACAUGCAAGUCGAGCGGAGCGGCGGACGGGUGAGUAAUGCCUGGGAAUCUGCCUGGUAGUGGGGGAUAACGUCCGGAAACGGGCGCUAAUACCGCAUACUACCAGAUGAGCCUAGGUCGGAUUAGCUAGUUGGUGGGGUAAAGGCUUACGAAGGCGACGAUCCGUAACUGGUCUGAGAGGAUGAUCAGUCACACUGUAACAUAGACACGGUGCAGUGUCCUGCGGGAGUCAGCAGUUGGGAAUAUUGGACAAUGGGCGAAAGCCUGAUCCAGCCAUGCCUCGUGUGUGAAGAAGGUCUUCGUAUUGUAAAGCACUUUAAGUUGGGAGGCGUUACCAACAGAAUAAGCACCGGCUAACAUCGUGCCAGCAGCCGCGGUAAUAC
rnacentral:rRNA from 1 species